rnacentral:rRNA from 1 species
GAUGAACGCUGGCGGCGUGCCUAAUACAUGCAAGUCGAGCGAACAGACGAGGAGCUUGCUCCUCUGACGUUAGCGGCGGACGGGUGAGUAACACGUGGAUAACCUACCUAUAAGACUGGGAUAACUUCGGGAAACCGGAGCUAAUACCGGAUAAUAUAUUGAACCGCAUGGUUCAAUAGUGAAAGACGGUUUUGCUGUCACUUAUAGAUGUAUCCGCGCCGCAUUAGCUAGUUGGUAAGGUAACGGCUUACCAAGGCAACGAUUCGUAGCCGACCUGAGAGGGUGAUCGGCCACACUGGAACUGAGACACGGUCCAGACUCCUACGGGAGGCAGCAGUAGGGAAUCUUCCGCAAUGGGCGAAAGCCUGACGGAGCAACGCCGCGUGAGUGAUGAAGGUCUUCGGAUCGUAAAACUCUGUUAUUAGGGAAGAACAAAUGUGUAAGUAACUAUGCACGUCUUGACGGUACCUAAUCAGAAAGCCACGGCUAACUACGUG